rnacentral:rRNA from 1 species
AUGUAUCCAGUGGCUUGGGCAGUCGUGGAGCAGGAAACAAAUGAGAGUUGGAAGUGGUUCAUUGGGUUGCUUAUCAAAGAUCUAGACAUCAACAAUAAUGGAGAAGGGUGGGUCUUCAUUUCUGAUCAGCAGAAGGGUCUUAUUAACGCCAUGGCAGAUUAUCUACCAAAUGCAGAGCAUAGGAUGUGUGCUCGACAUAUAUAUGCGAAUUGGAUAGGGCGCAUGACUGGCAGAAAAAGUUCUGGGCAGUGGCUAAAGCAUCCAACAAACAAGACUUCAACUACUAUAAAGCAAAGCUUGCACAAUUAA